rnacentral:rRNA from 1 species
UACGUAGGGCGCGAGCGUUGUCCGGAAUUAUUGGGCGUAAAGAGCUCGUAGGUGGCUUGUUGCGUCUGCCGUGAAAGCCCGUGGCUUAACUACGGGUCUGCGGUGGAUACGGGCAGGCUAGAGGCUGGUAGGGGCAAGCGGAAUUCCUGGUGUAGCGGUGAAAUGCGCAGAUACCAGGAGGAACACCGGUGGCGAAGGCGGCUUGCUGGGCCAGUUCUGACGCUGAGGAGCGAAAGCGUGGGGAGCGAACAGG